UAAAAUAAUUGUUAGGUGAGGCUCCUAUAAAGAAAUAAGCUGCUGCCGCGAAAGUAUCGAGAGAUUCUUAGUUGGUUGAACAGGGAUGGUCGCGAAGGUCAUCCAUAAUGUAGCUGGUAAGUAUCGUUUACUUAUCUACGCUUUAUAGUGCUAAAGCUCAACGAUGACUAUGGUG
rfam:Enterococcus aquimarinus strain DSM 17690 Scaffold11, whole genome shotgun sequence.